CUUGAGAGUUUGAUCCUGGCUCAGAACGAACGCUGGCGGCAGGCCUAACACAUGCAAGUCGAGCGAGACCUUCGGGUCUAGCGGCGGACGGGUUAGUAACGCGUGGGAACGUACCCUUUUCUAAGGAAUAGCCACUGGAAACGGUGAGUAAUGCCUUAUACGCCCUUCGGGGGAAAGAUUUAUCGGAGAAGGAUCGGCCCGCGUUAGAUUAGAUAGUUGGUGGGGUAAUGGCCUACC
rnacentral:rRNA from 14 species